rnacentral:rRNA from 1 species
GACGAACGCUGGCGGCGUGCCUAAUACAUGCAAGUAGAACGCAGUUGCGAACGGGUGAGUAACGCGUAGGUCACUGCCUGGGAGCGGGGGAUAACUAUUGGAAACGAUAGCUAAUACCGCAUACUACCCGAUGGACCUGCGUUGUAUUGGCUAGUUGGUGAGGUAACGGCUCACCAAGGCAACGAUACAUAGCCGACGUGAUAGGGUGAUCGGGCACAAUUGGACUGAGACACGGCCCAGACGCCCACGGGAGGCAGCAGUAGGGAAUCUUCGGCAAUGGGGGGAACCCUGACCGCGCAACGACGCGGGAGUGAAGAAGGUUUUCGGAUUGUAAAGCUCUGUUGUUAAGGAAGCGGUACUUAACCAGAAAGGGACGGCUAACUACGUGCCAGCAGCCGCGGUAAUUC